GAUGAACGCUAGCGGCAGGCUUAACACAUGCAAGUCGAGGGGUAACAGGGAAGAGCUUGCUUUUCUGCUGACGACCGGCGCACGGGUGCGUAACGCGUAUAGAACCUACCUUUUACAGGGGAAUAGCCCAGAGAAAUUUGGAUUAAUGCCCCAUAGUAUUAUUGAAUGGCAUCAUUUAAUAAUUAAACAUUUAUGGGUAAAAGAUGGCUAUGCGUUCUAUUAGCUAGAUGGUAAGGUAACGGCUUACCAUGGCAACGAUAGAUAGGGGUCCUGAGAGGGAGAUCCCCCACACUGGUACUGAGACACGGACCAGACUCCUACGGGAGGCAGCAGUGAGGAAUAUUGGACAAUGGAGGCAACUCUGAUCCAGCCAUGCCGCGUGCAGGAAGACGGUCCUAUGGAUUGUAAACUGCUUUUAUAUAGGAAGAAACCUUUCCACGUGUGGAAAGCUGACGGUACUAUAAGAAUAAGCACCGGCUAACUCCGUGCCAGCAGCCGCGGUAAUACGGAGGGUGCAAGCGUUAUCCGGAAUCAUUGGGUUUAAAGGGUCCGUAGGCGGACUAAUAAGUCAGGGGUGAAAUCCAACAGCUUAACUGUUGAACUGCCUUUGAUACUGUUAGUCUUGAGUUAUAUGGAAGUAGAUAGAAUAUGUAGUGUAGCGGUGAAAUGCUUAGAGAUUACAUAGAAUACCGAUUGCGAAGGCAGUCUACUACGUAUA
rnacentral:rRNA from 1 species